rnacentral:sRNA from 1 species
AUGGCUGUCGUCAGCUCGUGUCGUGAGAUGUUGGGUUAAGUCCCGCAACGAGCGCAACCCACGUCUUUAGUUGCCAGCAUUUAGUUGGGCACUCUAGAGAGACCGCCGGUGAUAAACCGGAGGAAGGUGUGGAUGACGUCAAGUCAUCAUGCCCCUUACAUCCUGGGCUACACACGUACUACAAUGCUACGGACAAAGGGCAGCAAGUUCGCGAGGACAAGCAAAUCCCAUAAACCGUGGCUCAGUUCAGAUCGUAGGCUGCAACUCGCCUACGUGAAGGAGGAAUCGCUAGUAAUCGCAGGUCAGCAUACUGCGGUGAAUACGUUCCCGGGCCUUGUACACACCGCCCGUCACACCAUGGAAGUUGGCCACGCCCGAAGCCGUUACUCCAACCCUUGUGGAGGAGGACGUCGAAGGUGGGGCUGAUGACUGGGGUGAAGUCGUAACAAGGUAUCCGUACCGGAAGGUGCGGAUGGAUCACCUCCUAACAGGGAGACAAAACAAUGAUUUUGAUGUCUGAGUAUUUCAUUCUUAGGCCGAAAUCCUGUCACCUUAGGUCGAUCGGUACCUCAACAUUUUUCCAAAGAUUGGUGAGCAAUCAUCAAGAGAUUGGAAGGGAUGUUCAGUUCCUAAACUUUGUCUAGGUCACACCCCGCAAGGGAAGAGUCCCCUGGGCCAUUAGCUCAGGUGGUUAGAGCGCACCCCUGAUAAGGGUGAGGUCCCUGGUUCAAGUCCAGGAUGGCCCAUUCGGUGUUGGGGGUUUAGCUCAGUUGGUAGAGCGCCUGCUUUGCAAGCAGGAUGUCAGGAGUUCGAGUCUCCUAACCUCCACUGACAGAACUCAAUCUCCAUUGUCCGGUAACCCGGAGGAUGAACUCGAUGGCGUGUGAUUUAGAUGUGUCCACUAGAUAGGACCCUAGCUUCCUGUCAUUCCGAACAAGUGAUUAUUGCUUGUUUGGCUGAUAUGAUGCUGGGCUCAGAUUAAUCGAAAGAUUAAUUUGAUCUCUAGUAGAACCUUGACAACUGCAUAAGUAAGUCUGGAAAAACGAAGCAUCUUACAGAUGCAUUGUUUUAAGUCUGGAUUCUCGAAAGAGAGUUUAGAUCUAGAAUGAUGAAAAUUCUUUUAAGCAAGAGCCGAGACUCUUAGAUGUUCUUUUUAUCGUGUCGAGCGAUAAAGAGUUUGAUUUUGUUUUUAUUAGCAGCGAAAGUUGCUGAUGAAACCAGAAGAAUCUGCUUUCAACCGCAGUAAGCGUUUAAGAGGUUAAUUGGUCAAGCUACAAAGGGCUCACGGCGGAUACCUUGGCACACAGAGGCGAUGAAGGACGUGGUUACCUGCGAUAAGUCUCGGGGAGCUGGAAGCACGCUUUGAUCCGGGAAUUUCCGAAUGGGGAAACCCGG